rnacentral:tRNA from 1 species
AAAAGCUUUAAACUCUUAAUUUAAAAGAAAGUAGUUAAAUUCUACUAUUAAGGG